GUGUACCACAGUGAUACAUUCUAAUGAAACCGUCGUACAAAAACCUCUGUUACACUACAGUGACCACACACACACACACACACACACACACACACACACACACACACACACACACACACACACGUUUCCAUAGAGAGAGGUUCCACUUUGCAUUAGCAGCUCAUGCUUCAGCGCUCUGCGAGUGUUUAUAGCCCUGUGACUUUAACACUUCAUGACUGAGAGCUGCUGCUCAGCGACUUCACCCACAGCAACCAUGAGUUUGAUCAGCGUCUUCAUCUGCACACUGGCCCUCUGCGCUCGAGGAUCCAGAGGUCAGGUGACUGUGACUCAGAGUCCUGCAGUGAAACCUGUUUCUCCAGGAGACACACUCACCAUCAGCUGUAAAACCAGCUCUGCUGUUUAUAAUUACUGUGGUGGAAGCUACGACUGUUUGUCCUGGUAUCAGCAGAAAGCUGGAGAAGCUCCUAAACUCCUGAUCUAUUAUGCUAGCACUAGAGAAUCAGGUAUUCCAGAUCGUUUCAGUGGCAGUGGAUCUGGAUCUGAUUUCACUCUGACCAUCAGUGGAGUCCAGACUGAAGAUGCUGGAGAUUAUUACUGUCAGAGUUAUCAUUAUAUCAGUGGUAGCGAUGUGUUCACACAGUGUUAGAGCGUCGUACAAAAACCUGUGUGAGUGUGACUGCUGCAGCUGGGACCUACUGCAGGUGCUGAGGGGGACGAUGUGAUACAGCACAAUCUCACACACACACACUCACACACACACACACACACACACUGACACACACACACACACACACAAUCACACACACACACACACACACAAUCACACACACACACACACACACACACAAUCACACA